UACAGAGGUCCCAAGCGUUGUUCGGAUUCACUGGGCGUAAAGGGUGCGCAGGUGGGUUGGCAAGUUCGAUGUGAAAGCCCCGGGCUUAACCCGGGAAUGGCAUUGGAUACUGUUGAUCUGGAGGGUCGGAGGGGGACUGGAAUUCUUGGUGUAGCGGUGAAAUGCGUAGAUAUCAAGAGGAACACCAGUGGCGAAGGCGAGUCCCUGGACGAUACCUGACACUGAGGCACGAAAGCCAAGGGAGCAAACAGG
rnacentral:rRNA from 1 species